rnacentral:lncRNA from 1 species
UGGGCCUGGUGACUGAAGACCAAUGCUGGCCUGAGACCUCUGCCUCCCCCAAAGCCAUCGUAGCCACAGAGCCUAGGGUGACCAUCUCGAUAAUGAAUUUCCACCGAGACAGAUUUCGGAUGACAGGCACCACCCAGGAAUCAGCUGCAGACUACAGACUGUUCCAGAUGGCUUUGAGCCCUGGACUUGCCGAAAGCUGACAUGGACCAAGCCAGCUGAUGCGAUUGCUCCCUGUCUCUCCAGCUGGGUCAGCUCACCAGAUGCUUCUAAUGAACGCUCCAUUCCCUGAAUCUGAGGACGACAUCUUAAUUUCAGCAUGAAGUAGUUAAAGAGAGUAGAGUAUGCCACUCUGUGUCCUCAACAGGCUGUGAUGUUAGGUCAAAAGGACCUGGCACAGGGGACAAAACGGCUGCCUAUCUCGCCCACUGGCAUACCAGGAAAGGUACUUGUUGAAACCAAAUAGACUCAGAUCUAUCAACAGGCUCCUCCUGGAUAGUAACUGAUAUCAGCCAAUGCAGGGCCUUUGACCUUUCUGUUUCUACUAAUUACUGUUGGCCCUGGCAUCAUUAAUGCCUUAACUUGAUGAUAAUUCUCAUCUGGGUACCAUUAAGCUGAUGGUUAUUAGAUCCCAGUGUAAACAGGUACCUGCCACAGAUUCGAGGAUUUGACUCAGGAUACAACCCAAGGGGGAUUGACUCAGCACCAUUUCCUGGGAACCUCAGAAUACUCGAGACCAGAGUCCACCACCUUGGCCAGUAUUUAAUUAAAGCUUGCUUCAAGUUUGGCUCAAGAUAUUGUGGUAGUGGUCUUAUUCUCAGCCAGUGGGAUUAUUAAUACAAGGUCACAGGGUGGAGCUGUUGCUACCCCGCCUGGACUUCAGGAUGAUAAAGUAAGAAGACACCUAUUUAAGCAGCUGCUAAUCCUUAAGUGCUAUAACCUGCAGUUCCCAGGAAAAAAAGGUCACACAACUGUGUUGAAGAUUCUAAACCAGCUAUGGGGUUUGAACUUUACAACUUGGGAGAGCUGGAAAGCUGUUGAUCCAGAAUCCAGAUUAUCUUGGGCUAUCUUAAUAACCCCCACUAGCCACUGAACACCCAUGUUCUACACCUGAACUAUUAACUCACAACCAACUAAGGGCUAACACCAUCAUCACACAGUAUCUAAAACCUGCGGCAGAGUUGUCCCCACUCUGCUGUACCCUACCUACCAUGUGAUGGGUAAAUUACUUUAAUAAUCCAUGAGCUUCUUUUGUUUUGUGUCUAUUAAAAAAUUCACAUAAUUGUU